UAGAGGGGCAAAAUUAAACUAAUAGGAAAGCGUAGUUUCCGUGCCUUGGAGUGAGAUAUCCGGUUCUCUUGUUGAUCACAUCUGUAAUAGCCCUACUUUUAAAAACGUUUAUUUAAAAGUUAAUUAUAAUUAUUAAGUUAAUUAUGUUCCGAAAAUCUUAUUUUAUUUGAGUUAUAGAGUAUAAAUUUUAUUGUCGUAUUGUAAAAAUAAUUAUUUACUUAAUUUUACGAAAUUAUUAUUAGCAAUUCAUAUAUUGAGUUUUAUGCGAACUAGCUUAAUUCUAUUUUGCCCAAAAUAGAAACCCAAAUCCCGACCCACCAUUUGUCGGUUUAAUGUUUAACAAAAACCACAUUUUAGCCUUCUCCCUCAUUCUCGAGUCUUCUAAACCCCAACCCCCAAAAUUGAAAAACCCCGUAAAACCCCAAAACCCGAAACCCCAGUUACCCCUCUCUCUCUCUCCCGCGCAGCUCUUCUCUCAGUUCGCCGGAAUACCCCAUGUUGCUCGUCGGAGAUUGCUUUCCGUUCACCGGCGUUGUCGUUCGAGUCUUUCUCUCUCCUCCCUCGAAGCUCUCUUUUUUUCCUUUCGCGCGUUUGUUGUUCGCGAUUGUGCUGCCGCUCUCCACGCCGUUGUUGGGUGGUGCUCCGCCACCACCGCACGUCGUCAUUCUGCUGCAGGUUGUGGUCGUGGUGCCGUCACCGGUCGGAUCUUCCCUCCCCUGCUCGUGUUGCUGUUGUUGGUUGAUUGUUGCUGCCGUUGUGUUACUGUCGUCCUUCGUCGCGAGCCGCUGCUUGGGUUCUUGUCUUCGUGCCGCCACUGCUGCCUCGUGGUGCUGCCAGCCGUGGUGGUGGCGUGUUCUUGUGGUUUGACAGAGUAUAUUAAAUGUUUCAGGUUGAAGCCGUGAGUUAUUCUUUUGCAAGUUGAAGCUGAUACGAGAUGAUGCAGUAUUAUAUUUGUUAUUGAAGUGAGGACGCUCCAUUUGUAAUAGUUAAUCGUUUAAUUUCUAUAAUAUAUUUUCUCUAUUUAAGAAUCGCUAGCUAAGUGCUCCUGAUUCUCUGUUGGUUGUUGCUCCGCGAAAGCGUUGAGAUUGUUGAGCUUUGGGAUUUGGAAAUAUUUUAUAAAUUGAAAUUGCAACAGAUUCAUAUUA